rnacentral:rRNA from 1 species
AGAGUUUGAUCAUGGCUCAGGAUGAACGCUAGCUACAGGCUUAACACAUGCAAGUCGAGGGGAAACGACAUCGAAAGCUUGCUUUUGAUGGGCGUCGACCGGCGCACGGGUGAGUAACGCGUAUCCAACCUGCCCACCACUUGGGGAUAACCUUGCGAAAGUAAGACUAAUACCCAAUGACGUCUCUAGAAGACAUCUGAAGGAGACCUUAAAGAUUUAUCGGUGAUGGAUGGGGAUGCGUCUGAUUAGCUUGUUGGCGGGGUAACGGCCACCAAGGCGACGAUCAGUAGGGGUUCUGAGAGGAGGUCCCCCANAUUGGAACUGAGACACGGUCCAAACUCCUACGGGAGGCA